UGGGGAAUCUUGGACAAUGGGCGCAAGCCUGAUCCAGCCAUGCCGCGUGAGUGAAGAAGGCCUUCGGGUUGUAAAGCUCUUUUAGUCGGAAAGAAAGAGUUGCAAUGAAUAAUUGUGAUUUAUGACGGUACCGACAGAAAAAGCACCGGCUAACUACGUGCCAGCAGCCGCGGUAAUACGUAGGGUGCGAGCGUUAAUCGGAAUUACUGGGCGUAAAGGGCGCGUAGGUGGUUAAUUAAGUCAGAUGUGAAAUCCCCGGGCUUAACCUGGGAAUUGCAUUUGAAACUGAUUGGCUAGAGUACGGGAGAGGGAAGUGGAAUUUCCGGUGUAGCGGUGAAAUGCGUAGAUAUCGGAAGGAACACCAGUGGCGAAGGCGACUUCCUGGCCCGUUACUGACACUGAGGCGCGAAAGCGUGGGGAGCGAACA
rnacentral:rRNA from 1 species